AUUUUGAGAAAGGUUGAAUGUCUUCCUUGAAUAUCUUGCUGCGCAUGCGCUCAGGCGAGACUUCGGUCAAGAGAGCGCGAGCGAGAAAGAGCGGUGUAGGGUUUUUUUACACGCAUGUUUAUGCAAAUUACAACUUUUUUUAAGCACCUGUUUAAACUUGGAAUUUUGUUUCUGCGCACAUAAAUACACCAAUUUUAAGAAGUUAUAUUUGAAUGAGUUUUACCUUUGUUGACUAUCACUGAGAUCUGUAUGGUGGUGUCGUGUGAUGUAUUUUUGUUUUUAACAGAUAUUAGGUGAAUAUAAGGCUUCCUCGUUCCGAGUCACGUGCAUUAUCUGGAAUAGUCAACAAGGAAGUGGUUUUGUUCAGACCUGCAGAAUCCUUCUUAGAAAAUCCUAUUCUUUAUUCAAGGAGGGGGAAUCCAGCCUCACGGCAUAUUUUAAAUGUAGGUCACAUGAGCGUGACAGAAACUUCAGCAGGUGCCAAGACAAUCUCUGACCCUCAGCUUAUGGACCACUGCGAGGUGUGUUGAUAAAAACAGACUCUGCAGGACUGCUCAGACAGGCAUCAUUGGACAGGGCAUGGACGAGUCCUCCAUCUUGCCUCUGCUGAAAACACACGUCAAUGACAUCUGGGGCUGAAUCAACAUAUGGCCCAACACCAAUAGCUAAAGUACCCAGAUAAUUCUGAAAAACAGGAAGGUUAAUGCUUCCCUUGAGCAAACAUUUAAUGCUGAUCCAAGUUCUUCAACUAACCUUUGAGUUUGUGUAGCUGUGCUUUGUUUUAAUAAGAGUCAGUCAGUAACAGGCGGCCAGCUCUUGCUCAUUGAUCCAGGCAAGCACAUCUCCCAGCUGCCUAAAGAACCCAGGCUUGCCACAUUGAUUGGAGCAAGUGAGCCUUCAGCAAGCAGGAGGCCUCCUGAGGGAGCUUCGCACAUUCACAUGGACACACGGACACGUACACAGAGCCUGUAAUCUGCUUGUGUGGGCUGUUUUUGAAUUAUCAAGGCUAGGGAAUUUUAGAAACACAAUGCAGGACACAUGGCCCAAAUUUAUGCAAGGACUCUAAUGCUAAUGUACUUACAAUCCAGUUCAGUGCAUACCAGGAUAAAGUAAAUGUGUUACUAGGCUAUUUUUUGUCAUUUGUUUAUGAAGUUUAUGUGGAUACACAUAAACCGUAUUAAAAGGCUUUUUUAAA